rnacentral:rRNA from 7 species
GCCUACGGCCAUCCCACCCUGUAACGCCCGAUCUCGUCUGAUCUCGGAAGCUAAGCAGGGUCGGCCUGGUUAGUACUUGGAUGGGAGACCUCCUGGGGAAUACCGGGUGCUGUAGGCU